rnacentral:lncRNA from 1 species
GUGUGUUAUUUUUAUUUCUAGUUAAGUUUUAUCUGAUCAAUGUAAGGAAUGCACGAAGAUUCACUGAUGCCACAGGGAGAUCAAUUUACAUCACAAAAGCAGUUAGACAUUGCUACAUCUGUUAUUUUGCCAGGAAUUCCCCCAAGUACAACUUUUGCUAGACGGUCUUUCCUGAAACCAUCUGAAAUCAUGAGUCAGUAUGUGCCAGCUGUAUUUAAGACCAAAGGCUUAAUGUAUCCACAUCUGGGGUAGGAGUCAGAUGUAAAACAAGCCCAACAUUGCCUUGGAAGUUCUAUAGGGUAAGUAAAUGCUAACAUUCACUUUCUUGCCUCAGUGGCUGUGGCUCUCACCUCUACUACUAUAACUAGAAGCUUAAUAUUCACUUUCAUUCUUUGAAAAGGUGACAGUGUUUCUUCCAGUCCAAUAAUGGAACUUUCCACUAGGUUGGUAACACAAUUCAAUUUUUAAGCCAAGCUCAGCCUGGUUUUGUCUUAACAAUUGGGUUAUUUAGCUUGACUCCUACAGAAAAACAAGCUCUUUCAUGAUGGGAUGUGCAGCUGUGAAUAGUACAACAUGGAUGAAUGUAAUUAUGGGAUUUGUUAAGUUUGGUGAAAAGAAAGUGGAUUGGAAGGCUGCCAUGCUUAUCUAUGGAACGAAAAAAAUGAAACAUGUACAAAUGAUAUAUUAGAGGUUUAAAAAAGGCUCAGACAUGCAAGGAAAUUUGAACAUUGACUAGAUAUUUGAGGAUAUUUAUAUUUUUAAUUCUAUUUAUGAAUGAUUACAGUAUUACAGUCAUAUUUUAAGAGUUCUUAUGUUUUUAACACGCAUAAAAAUAUUUACGUAUUCUAUGAAAAAACCUCUCAGUAGGGCUUUUUUAACCUUUGCAAAAUCUUCCGAUCAUGUUUUGUUCCCAAAUUUUGUUCUGUUCGUAUUGUUUGUUGUUGUCAUUGUUGGUAAUACACUGACCUAACCACCAAGAUAUUUGGAAUUCAACUCAGAAUUUCCACAAUCAUAGAUAGAGGUCAUAUUCAUUAUGCUUUAUUCCUAAACAAUUGAAAAUUUCUCCUUCAAGAAUUUGCUAGUAUUUUGACAUUUAACCAAGAGUUUUCUUCUGAAUCUACAGCAAUGGACUCUUUCGUGGCUAGAUUUGAAUCCCACGUACAACAGAAGCUUCCAAAUGCGUUGUUUGGCCACAAUGAAGAAUCCUUAUUGAAAUAUCCCUUGAAUGGCAUAAUUGAAUAGACGUAAUUGCAAAGCUCUGCACCAUGUAAAAUUAGAAAUGGACUCUUGUGUAUGUAGAUGAGAAGAACUGAGCAUGAGAGGGUGCUGAUAACAGGGGAUAUGGGCACCGCAUAACCUAAACAGACUUUGACACCACAACAAAAGAGAGACAGAUACUGUAGAACAAUGACAGGUAAAUAUUGUAUUAGAAUAGUGCCUAUUUCUGCUUUGGUUUCAGGAAUGUCUUAUAAUAAAUGAAUAAAGUGGGUCACCACUACAAUUACAGCAAUAAUGAUAAUGAGUUCAAUAAUAACAUGAAAGAACAAGAAGCUUGCAAUCAAGUCCCAUAUUCCUUGUGGGUGUGUUUAAGGAAACCUCGUGUCAUAUAUUUGUUUUACUUUAAUUACUUCCCUCAUCUUCUAGUUUAUUACUUCUCUCCACCUUGUGUCAGGUUAGAAACCAUCACUUCCCUAUGUCUCCCAUCCUUAGCUGCAAUAUUCCUUCUUUAUCUUGAGCAGCAGGAGAUCUCUUUUCUUUCUUUCCACUUGUUCCAGCUGGAGACCAUGACAUAGAAGCCUCUCACUUUCUGGGAUUGUUGAAAUAAAACUGAACCCCUUCCCCACUUUACUUGUUCAACCCAGAGGAAGGUUGAAGAACUGUGGAGAUGGAGGAUGCUUACAGUAUUUAUUCUCCUUUUUCUAACUAGCAAGGUUAAUAUGUGAACAUUGUGGUCAUGUGUGACUUACUUGUAAGGUUCCUGGAUUCUCUGUGUUUGACAAGGUGAGAGGUGGCCCUAGUCCUCUAUACGAAUGGGCCCAAAGAAAAACUGUACUUACAGAGUCCAAUGUAGAGGAUAAUUUUACUAAAGGCCCAACCAUGUCUACCAAACCAGCAAUAGGAGCAAUGAAAUUGCUAUGUUUGUCAUAUUUUUAUAUAAAUAUGCCUCUUUUUAUUUCAAUUGGUUCCAAACUCAGAGAGGAAUGAGGUAGGGUUAACUGUUGCCCUCCUAAAACCCAAAAAUGAACAGUAACAUUAUAUUAAAAGGGUGGGUUGUUGGCUAAAUCAGGUUUUUAAAAGUAUAUUAAGACAGAGAACCUCAUUAAGGUUUGUGGUGUCGUGUUAAUGGCACAGAUAUGUUUUGCUCAUCCUCAUAUUUAAAACAUGCAAUAUUUAGUUGGUGGGUCUCAAUGUUUUGUCUGAAAAUUUUAUUAGUUAAGAAUAGUGUUCAUUUGAAUUAGAGGCUAAAAUUAGCUGCUUAUAUGAGAGAGAAGUUUGUUUCUCUCUCAUGAAAACAUCUUAAGAAAGAGGUCUGAAGCUGGAAUAGUGGUUUGGACCUAAAGGUCGUCAGGAACCCAGGCUUCUUCCAGAUUGUUGCUCUGCUUCUGACCUCCAUUCCUCUUCAUCUCAUUAGCAAGAUGGCAGUAACAGCUACAGACACCACCUCUACAUUAAAGUAUAUAGGAGAAGACAAAUAAAAAACUAGGUUGUAGUCCAUAGGAGGAGCAUGUCCUUGCUAUGCCUUGGAAGCUGUCAUGUGACACUUCUAGUUUCAUCUAGAAUUUAGUUAGUCACCUGACAUUCCCUUGACCCAAUGUGUACUGGGUAAUGUACGCUUUAUUCUGGACAGCUACCUAUGAAGUCAAAAAAAACACAAAUUCUAUUCUUAUGGGGGAAAUGCAUAGGGAGAAAACGAGUAGUCUCUUCCAUAGGAAAUACAGUUGCCUUUAAAUGGUGAAGACUAACAUUUAAUAUACCUGCAAUUCUGAGCUCAGGUCAAGGUGCACUAUAUUGUCUGUGGCAGUGUAGGUGCAUGACGGGACAUUUUCAGCAUCACAGCCAACUGUAUGGUUGUUCAGAUGGUAACAAAGACAUUGAAUAGAAGCAAAUGCACCUAAACUUCAGCAGCAAAACUUCUAAGCACCCUGCAGAGCCUCAGUUCCCUUCUUUCUAAAACCAGCAUAAUAUUAUGUAACAUUGUGAUUAUAAUAUUUGUCAUGCCUACUUUCAAAGGUGUUAUAAGAAUCAAAUGGCCAGGCGCAGUGGCUCACUCCUAUAAUCCCAGCACUUUGGGAAGCCAAGGCAGGCGGACCACCUGAGGUCAGGAGUUCGAGACCAGUCUGGCCAAUAUGGUAAAACCCAGUCUCUACUAAAAAUACAAAAAUUAGCCAGCUGUGGUGGUGGGCACCUGUAAUCCCAGCUACUCAGGAGGCUGAGACAGGAGAAUCGCUUGAACCUGGUAUGCAGAGGUUGCAGUGAGUGGAGAUCGCGCCAUUGCACUCCAGCCUGGGUGACAGAGCAAGACUCC